rnacentral:tRNA from 2 species
GGCCCCGUAGCUCAGCCGGAUAGAGCACCAGCCUUCUAAGCUGAUGGUCGGUGGUUCGAAUCCACCCGGGGUCGCCA